GAACAGCCCCUGAGCCAUGGGAACUGGCUUCGGAGGAGCCACCAAAGCUAUCCCCUGGGGUGCGGGAGGAGAGCUGCUGGCCCCAGCCUGGGCUCUAGCCUAAAUCCCAGGCUCCCCAGCCCUCUCGGGGCAGGUGAGGGGUGCCAUGUUGCUUUGGGGUGAGGCCCAGCGCAAGCCCACCCCUUGCAUUGCAUCCCCUUGCGAGGGCGGGCCUGAUUCUGCACCGUGUCUGCUGUGGAGAGCUCUGGCAGCUGCGCUGAUGGGCUCAGCCCCAAGGUGGGGAGGUCCCUGGGGAGCCCCUCGCCUUGCUUUUGCCCCCCACUAUCCCAGGAGACGGGUGACAGCCUCCUGGUGAGGGCACUGGGAGGAGGUGCUGCUGGCAGGACAGCAGGAGAGGAAGAGGAGGAGGAAGGAGCUGGGGAAUGGCCACAGCAGCAAGGGCUGCCCCAAGCACGACGCUCUUCAAAGUUUGUCAAGAGGCCUCAGCCACUCUUUCAAGGUGAAAGCGCCCCUCACGUGAUGCUAAUAUCCCAACCAGGACAGUGCGGGCAAGCCGCAAAGCCCUGCUCAGCUGUGGUGACUCACUCAAGUUCCGACGGGAAAGUCAUCGCUCCUGGCAGGCUCUGACAGCCCAGAGGCAAAUCAGUACGUGGCAGGCAGAAGAUGCACCAAGGUCCAUGCAAGCAAUCUGUCGGAAAUGGAGCUUCGCUUUAUCCAGGCAGAAGCAUCAGAAGAGAAAAAGUGUUUCUGUAACCCAGGUGUCCUUGGUCAACCUCCCCCUGCCCU